rnacentral:rRNA from 1 species
AGAGCGCAAGGGGAAUGCCUUGGCAUCAGGAGCCGAAGAAGGACGUGACAAGCUGCGAUAAGCUGCGGUGAGGAGCAAAUAUCCUUUGACCCGCAGAUCUCCGAAUGGGGCAACCCGGCUGGACAAUAUCCAGUCAUCCUGCAUUGAAUCAAAUAGGUGUAGGAAGGGAACCGUCUGAACUGAAACAUCUAAGUAGGACGAGGAAGAGACAUCAACCGAGAUUCCGCAAGUAGUGGCGAGCGAACGCGGAAGAGGCCAAACCGGAGGAUCAAUUCUCCGGGGUUGCGGACAGUCAUUUAGCAGAAGAUAUCUAACCGAAGGGUCUGGGAAGGCCCACCACAGAGGGUGAGAGUCCCGUAGGUGAAAGAGAAGGCUGUGAGACUGAAUCCAGAGUACCGCAGGACACGUGAAACCCUGCGGGAAACAGGGGGGACCACCCUCCAAGCCUAAAUACUACCUGAUGACCGAUAGAGGAGCAGUACCGUGAGGGAAAGGUGAAAAGGACCCCGGGAGGGGAGUGAAAGAGAACCUGAAACCUUGUGCUUACAAGCACUCAAAGCACGUUAAAGUGUGAUGAGGUACUUUUUGUAGAACGGUCCGGCGAGUUAUUGUAUGUAGCGAGCUUAAGGUGUUCAGCACCGGAGGCGAAGCGAGAGCGAGUCUGAAUAGGGCGACACAGUUGCAUGCAAUAGACCCGAAACCAGGUGACCUAUCCAUGGGCAGGUUGAAGUGGGGGUAAAACCCCAUGGAGGACCGAACCGACCCCCGUUGCAAUGGUGGCGGAUGACCUGUGGAUAGCGGAGAAAUUCUAAUCGAACUUGGAGAUAGCUGGUUCUCCCCGAAAUAGCUUUAGGGCUAGCGUUGAUUUAGAUUACCGGAGGUAAAGCACUGAAUGGGCUAGGGGCUGAUAAAGUUACUGAACCCUAUCAAACUAAGAAUGCCGGCAAAUUGAUGAUCAGCAGUCAGACUACGUGAGAUAAGUCUCGUGGUCAAAAGGGAAACAGCCCAGACCCACAGCUAAGGUCCCAAAUAAUUGCUAAGUGGAAAACGAUGUGAGAUUGCCCAGACAACCAGGAUGUUGGCUUAGAAGCAGCCACACAUUAAAAGAGUGCGUAAUAGCUCACUGGUCGAGUGGUCUUGCGCGGAAAAUAUAACGGGGCUAAGCAGUUAACCGAAGCUUGGGCUUGCCGAAGGCAGGGGUAGGGGAGCGUCGAAUACGGGGUGAAGUCGCAGCGGGAGCAGCGGUGGACUGUAUUCGAGUGAGAAUGCCGGAAUGAGUAGCGAGAAUUAUGUGGGAAUCAUAAUGGCCGAAAAUCUAAGGUUUCUUGGGGAAGGUUCGUCCGCCCAAGGUAAGCCGGGAGCUAAGGCGAGGCCGAAAGGCGUAGUCGAUGCACAUACGGUAGAAAUUCCGUAGCCACCGAACUUUAAGUCAGAGGGACACUUUUGGAUAGCGGAACCCGGGCGUUGGUUGACCCGGGCGAAAGGGAGCGAAAAUAUAGUAGCGAAGUCCGCGAUGCUGAGAGGCGAGAAAAGCUCUGAUGGAUACUAAGGUGCCCGUACCGCAAACCGACACAGGUAGAUGAGGAGAGAAUCCUAAGGCCAACGGGAGAAGGGUUGUUAAGGAACUCGGCAAAAUGACCCCGUAACUUCGGGAUAAGGGGAGCCUCCUACGGGAGGCCGCAGCGAAUAGGCCCAAGCGACUGUUUACCAAAAACACAGGUCUCUGCUAAAUCGAAAGAUGACGUAUAGGGGCUGACGCCUGCCCGGUGCUGGAAGGUUAAGAGGAGAUGUUAGCCGCAAGGCGAAGCAUUGAAUCGAAGCCCCAGUAAACGGCGGCCGUAACUAUAACGGUCCUAAGGUAGCGAAAUUCCUUGUCAGGUAAGUUCUGACCCGCACGAAUGGCGUAACGAUAUGGGCGCUGUCUCGGCGAGAGGCUCGGCGAAAUUGGAUUAUCCGUGAAGAUACGGAUUACGUGUACCAGGACAGAAAGACCCUAUUGAGCUUUACUGUAGCUUGAAAUUGAAUUCGGGUUCUUAUUGUGCAGUAUAGGUGGGAGACUAUGAAACUAGGACGUCAGUUUUAGUGGAGUCAUCGUUGAGAUACCACUCUGUAAUAAUUUGAAUUCUAACCUUGAUCCCUCAAACAACAGGGCAAGGAACAGUUUCUGGUAGGCAGUUUGACUGGGGCGGUCGCCUCCUAAAAUGUAACGGAGGCGUUCAAAGGUUCCCUCAGGUUGGUCGGAAAUCAACCGUUGAGUGUAAUAGCACAAGGGAGCUUGACUGCGAGACCUACAAGUCGAGCAGGUACGAAAGUAGGAUAUAGUGAUCCGGUGGUUCUGUAUGGAAGGGCCAUCGCUCAUCGGAUAAAAGUUACCAUAGGGAUAACAGGCUUAUCUCCCCCAAGAGUCCACAUCGACGGGGAGGUUUGGCACCUCGAUGUCGGCUCGUCGCAUCCUGGAGCGGUAGUACGUUCCAAGGGUUGGGCUGUUCGCCCAUUAAAGCGGCACGCGAGCUGGGUUCAGAACGUCGUGAGACAGUUCGGUCCAUAUCCGGUAUACGCGCAAGAGAUUUGAACGGAGUCUUCCUUAGUACGAGAGGACCGGGAAGAGGGGACCUCCAGUGUACGGGUUAUCGCGCCAGCGGUAAACGCCCGGUAGCUGUGUUCCAAGCGGAUAAGUGCUGAAAGCAUAUAAGUACGAAGCCCACCGUAAGAUAAGAUCUCUCAUAGCAUAAGCUAGUAAGUUCCCAGACAGAUCAUCUGGUUGA